ensembl:lncRNA
GGGAGCAGCUCAGCUGGGCCUCGCCUCCAGGGAGGGGCAAGGACACUCCCCAGAGCUCAGCCCUCGGCACUUUACCCCAGGGCAGGCGCCUUUCCCGGGAGGGAAGGCCAGGCCCUCUGGGUCACUAGGAAUCCCUCCCCGGACAGGGGCUGGGCUGGGCUGGGCAGCAGCUGCCUUUGUGAAGGAGCCUGGGACCCGCCGGUUAUCUUAGCUGAUGGAAAGCUGUUUGGAGGAUGUGCAGAGAACGAAGGGAAGCCACCUAGGACAUCACCCAGGCCUCUGAGGACAACUUCUCCAGUUCCUACUUGCAGAGUUACCGUAAAGAGCAAAUAAGCUCACAUCGGGCAGUGCCCUCGGAGAGCAGUCCAGUGCUGUGUGGGCAUGUAGGAUGGUCUCCGUGUCUGAACAUGGAGCGGCCAGCCCAGAUACAAUCUGACGACUGAGUCCUCAGAAGCCCCCAGGGAGAUGGGUUUCCUAACUCUGCCAUCAUAACAGUAGGUCCAGGAAAAAAGACCAUGGGAAAACGAAAGAGUGCUGUUGGAGAGUGAAAAGUGUAAGCACUGCCGUAAUGGGCCUGUAAGACCGACUUGUUAGCUGACGCCACCUGGGAGAAGAGGCUUUGAGACACAGAGCAGGAUCAGCGGGAUCACAUCCAGGACUUCAUGCUGAAUGUCAGUAAGUGUUCAGUGUUUGGAACUGCCUGCUCAUCCUGACUUGGAAGCAAGUUUAUUUAUUCAGCAUAAAAGGAAGUAUUUGAACUCACAGAGUGUGAUUCUCUGCAACUUUUAAAAGCAGCAAGACUGGGCAGACAACUUUUAGGACAAUAAGACAUAUUUCUCUGUUCUGAAUAUUUUUUGCUAUCUUAACUAAAUUCUAUCUAUGUAGGAGCUCAACAAUAAAAAUGACUUAGUUUUGGCUAAUACAGGUAAUAAUUUAGAUGACAAAAAUGAGCCUGUUUUGUUUUUUUUUUUUGCCUAAAAUUCCGUCUGUUGUCUUCUCCAUUCAACUGUUUCAUUUUUGAACCAUUCUUUUGUGAAACGGAACAUGUAAACAACAUUUUCAUGAAUAUCACCAUAUCACCUAGGUGAAUAGAAUAAACUCUACCCAACCCACUCUUAGUUCUUUGCCUUGGUGUAUUAGAUCUAGCUGGCCUUUUGGAAUGAAAGAUUUGCAUAAAAUCAGGCAAAAGCAAAAUGGAACUGUCCUUUGCUGACUGGCAGGCACAG